rnacentral:rRNA from 1 species
AUUGAACGCUGGCGGCAUGCCUUACACAUGCAAGUCGAGCGGCAGCGCGGGGGCAACCCUGGCGGCGAGCGGCGAACGGGUGAGUAACGCAUCGGAACGUGUCCUCUUGUGGGGGAUAACCAGUCGAAAGACUGGCUAAUACCGCAUGAGCUCGAGAGAGGAAAGCGGGGGACCGCAAGGCCUCGCGCGAGAGGAGGGGCCGAUGCCCGAUUAGCUAGUUGGCGGGGUAACGGCCCACCAAGGCGACGAUCGGUAGCUGGUUUGAGAGAACGACCAGCCACACUGGGACUGAGACACGGCCCAGACUCCUACGGGAGGCAGCAGUGGGGAAUUUUGGACAAUGGGGGAAACCCUGAUCCAGCCAUGCCGCGUGUGUGAAGAAGGCCUUCGGGUUGUAAAGCACUUUCGGACGGAACGAAAUCGCGCGGGCGAACAUCCCGCGUGGAUGACGGUACCGUGAGAAGAAGCACCGGCUAACUACGUGCCAGCCGCCGCGGUAAGAC